rnacentral:rRNA from 1 species
CCUACGGGAGGCAGCAGUGGGGAAUAUUGGGCAAUGGGCGCAAGCCUGACCCAGCAACGCCGCGUGAAGGAUGAAGGUUUUCGGAUUGUAAACUUCUUUUGUACGGGACGAAGAAAGUGACGGUACCGUAAGAAUAAGCCACGGCUAACUACGUGCCAGCAGCCGCGGUAAUACGUAGGUGGCAAGCGUUAUCCGGAUUUACUGGGUAUAAAUGGCGAGUAGGCGGGAUUGCAAGUCAGAUGUGAAAACUAUGGGCUCAACCGAUAGAGUGCAUUUGAACCUGCAGUUCUUGAGUGAUGGAGAGGCAGACGGAAGUCCCGGUGUAGCGGUGGAAUGCGUAGAUAUCGGGAGGAACACCAGUGGCGAAGGCGGCCUGCUGGACAUUAACUGACGCUGAGGCGCGAAAGCGUGGGGAGCAAACAGGAUUAGAUACCCUUGUAGUC